UCCUACGGGGGGCAGCAGUGGGGGAUAUUGCACAAUGGGGGAAACCCUGAUGCAGCGACGCCGCGUGUGGGAAGACGGUCCUCUGGAUUGUAAACCACUGUCCCCAGGGACGAAGAUGACGGUACCUGGGGAGGAAGCUCCGGCUAACUACGUGCCAGCAGCCGCGGUAAUACGGAGGAUGCGAGCGUUAUCCGGAUUUAUUGGGUUUAAAGGGUGCGUAGGCGGAUUUUUAAGUCAGCGGUAAAAUGUCCGGGCUCAACCCGGGCCGGCCGUUGAAACUGGGGAUCUUGAGUGGGCGAGA
rnacentral:rRNA from 1 species